CCGCAAGGGCAGUGGCAGACGAGGUAGUAACACGUACGAACGUACUCCAAAGUCGGGCAUAGCCAACCGAAAGGUGGGGUAAUUCCCGAUAGUCCCUACGGGGUAAAGAUUUAUCGCUUUGGAAGCGGCGUGCGUAAUAUCAGCUUGUUGGUAAGGUAAUGGCUUACCAAGGCUACGACGUUUAGGGGAGCUGAGAGGCUGACCCCCACCGAUGGGACUGAGACACGGCCCAUACUCCUACGGGAGGCCGCAGUCGAGAAUCUUCCGCAAUGGACGCAAGUCUGACGGAGCGAUACAGCGUGGUAGAUGAAGUGCUUCGGCACGUAAAUACCUUUUAUGAGGGACGAAAUUAUUGACGGUACCUCAUGAAUAAGGGGCUCCUAACUCUGUGCCAGCAGGAGCGGUAAUACAGAGGCCCCAAGCAUUAUCCGGAAUCACUGGGCGUAAAGGGUGUCAAGGCGGUCAUAUUAGUCUUCCGUUAAAUCCAGGAGCUCAACUUCUGGCCCGCGG
rnacentral:rRNA from 1 species